UGGGGAAUAUUGCACAAUGGGCGCAAGCCUGAUGCAGCCAUGCCGCGUGUGUGAAGAAGGCCUUCGGUUGUAAGGCAGCUUUCAGCGAGGAGGAAGGUGGUGAACUUAAUACGUUCAUCAAUUGACGUUACUCGCAGAAGAAGCACCGGCUAACUCCGUGCCAGCAGCCGCGGUAAUACGGAGGGUGCAAGCGUUAAUCGGAAUUACUGGGCGUAAAGCGCACGCAGGCGGUUUGUUAAGUCAGAUGUGAAAUCCCCGGGCUCAACCUGGGAACUGCAUUUGAAACUGGCAAGCUAGAGUCUCGUAGAGGGGGGUAGAAUUCCAGGUGUAGCGGUGAAAUGCGUAGAGAUCUGGAGGAAUACCGGUGGCGAAGGCGGCCCCCUGGACGAAGACUGACGCUCAGGUGCGAAAGCGUGGGGAGCAAACAGGAUUAGNUACCCUGGUAGUCACGCUGUAAACGAUGUCGAUUUUGGAGGUUGUGCCCCUUGAGGCGUGGCUUCCGGAGCUAACGCGUUAAAUCGACCGCC
rnacentral:rRNA from 1 species